rnacentral:rRNA from 1 species
UACGAAGGGUGCAAACGUUGCUCAGAAUUAUUGGGCGUAAAGCGCACGUAGGCGGCAUUGCAAGUCCCAUGUGAAAUCCCACGGCUUAACCGUGGAAGUGCAUGGGAAACUGCAGUGCUUGAGUACUUAAGAGGAUCGCGGAAUUCCCGGUGUAGAGGUGAAAUUCGUAGAUAUCGGGAGGAACACCAGUGGCGAAGGCGGCGAUCUGGGAAGAUACUGACGCUGAGGUGCGAAAGCGUGGGGAGCAAACAGG